AUGACGUUCGGAGGAAUCUUUGGCUUGCCCGGCUACAUCCUGUUCGGGGACAAAGAGCAGGAGCGAAAGCUGCGGAAGCGAAAGAAAAAGCUGCAGCGAGAGCGUAAGCUGCGGCUGCGGCAGGAGCGAAAGCUGCGGCAGCGAGAGCAGGAGUUGCAGUGGCUGCUGCUACGGCAACAACCCAGGCAGCUGCGGGGGACCCAGGGGUUCUCUAGUGAGUCACUGGCAGUCGCUCGGUCGAGCAACUCAGUGGCAGUCCCUCGUGGGUACGAGCGACAAGGGGCGCAUGGGUUCCCUAGUGACUCACGGGCAGUCCCUCGUGGGUACGAGCCACAGGGGGCGCAUGGGUUCUCUAGUGACUCACUGGCGGUCACUCACUCUGUCAACUCACUGGCAGUCCCUCGUGGUCGUGGGUACGGGCAACUUGGGGGGCAGGGGUUCUCUAGUGACUCACUGGCAGUCGCUCGCUCGGGCAACUCAUCGGCAGUCCCUCGUGGGUACGGGCCACAGGAUGCACAUAAGUUCUUACUGGCAGGCCAUCGUGGGUACGAGGAGGAGGACUUCAGCGCCUCCGACGAUGAGGACGACGAUGAUGAGGACGACGAUGAUGAGGAUGACGAUGAUGCCUUCGAAGAAGACGACGAGGACGAAGAUGAUGAGAAUGACGAGGAGGUGGAGGAAGGGGAGCACCGCCGGUUGAUGCUGCUGACGCUCCAGCAGCAAGGGGGGCAAGGGGUCCCGCGCGUACACCCGGGGGGGAGACUUGAGUGGCUCUGA
rnacentral:rRNA from 1 species